CCGCCGAGCCAGCUGAGAAGAUGCUAAGUACUGUAUGUAUGAGCAGGAAGUAUAUUGCUACUGAAACGGUGGAGCUAAAGGAAGGCCUUCUGGAACAAUUUUUUUCAUGAAAUGGAACCCUUUAUAGGCAAACAAGGACUGCCAGUUUGCCUAAACAGAGGUGUUGUUGAAUUAAUUGCUGACCAUGUAGUUUGUGAAGAAGGGAAGCCUUUCACCAGAAGCAGCACACACUCUGGUAUGUAUAAAACAUCAUGCAUUAUUACCUGAAUAUUUUUAAAGUGAUAGACGAUAGUGGUAUCCUGUGAUCAAGUUAUGAGAAGCCGAAAGUCUUACUCUUACACUUGAUUAGGGUGUUCAAGACAUCUGGUACCAUUUUUGCUCGUAAGUGUAGAACUGUGGAAGUAUACAUGUAUGUUUUGUGGUAAGGGCAUCUUCAUCAGCCCGAAGCAAAUGGAUCAAGGGUUCCUUUGAUUCAUAGGAUAACGAAAGUAUAGAAAUAAAAAAGCAUGGGAUUGGGAUGUCAUAUCUCUUUGAAUCAUAUCAGAAAAUGAAGCGUGUUUGAUUGUA